CCUACGGGGGGCUGCAGUGGGGAAUAUUGCACAAUGGGCGCAAGCCUGAUGCAGCCAUGCCGCGUGUGUGAAGAAGGCCUUCGGGUUGUAGAGCACUUUCAGCGGGGAGGAAGGCGGUGAGGUUAAUAACCUCAUCGAUUGACGUUACCCGCAGAAGAAGCACCGGCUAACUCCGUGCCAGCAGCCGCGGUAAUACGGAGGGUGCAAGCGUUAAUCGGAAUUACUGGGCGUAAAGCGCACGCAGGCGGUCUGUCAAGUCGGAUGUGAAAUCCCCGGGCUCAACCUGGGAACUGCAUUCGAAACUGGCAGGCUAGAGUCUUGUAGAGGGGGGUAGAAUUCCAGGUGUAGCGGUGAAAUGCGUAGAGAUCUGGAGGAAUACCGGUGGCGAAGGCGGCCCCCUGGACAAAGACUGACGCUCAGGUGCGAAAGCGUGGGGAGCAAACAGGAUUAGAGACCUGUAGUC
rnacentral:rRNA from 1 species